rnacentral:rRNA from 1 species
GACAGAGGUGCCAAGCGUUAGGCGGAAUCACUGGGCUUAAAGCGUGUGUAGGCGGAUCGUUAAGUACCUUGUGAAAUCCCACGGCUCAACCGUGGAACUGCUGGGUAUACUGGCGAUCUUGAGCCACCUAGGGGCGAGCGGAACAAGCGGUGGAGCGGUGGAAUGCGUAGAUAUCGCUUGGAACGCCAAUGGUGAAAACAGCUCGCUGGGGGUGUGCUGACGCUGAGACACGAAAGCCAGGGGAGCGAACGGG